rnacentral:rRNA from 1 species
UACGUAGGCAGCGAGCGUUGUUCGGAAUUACUGGGCGUAAAGAGUGUGUAGGCGGUGCUUUAAGUUCGGUGUGAAAUCUCCUGGCUCAACUGGGAGGGUGCGCCGGAAACUGGAGUGCUUGAGCGUGGGAGAGGAAAGCGGAAUUCCUGGUGUAGCGGUGAAAUGCGUAGAUAUCAGGAGGAACACCUGUGGUGUAGACGGCUUUCUGGACCAUAGCUGACGCUGAGACACGAAAGCGUGGGUAGCAAACAGG